rnacentral:rRNA from 1 species
CUACGGGUCGCACCAGUGAGGAAUAUUGCACAGUGGGGGGAACCCUGAUGCAGCAACGCCGCGUGGAGGAUGACGCAUUUCGGUGUGUAAACUCCUUUUAUAUGUCAAGAAAAUGACGGUAGCAUAUGAAUAAGCACCGGCUAACUCCGUGCCAGCAGCCGCGGUAAUACGGAGGGUGCAAGCGUUACUCGGAAUCACUGGGCGUAAAGGACGCGUAGGCGGGUUGGAAAGUCAGGUGUGAAAUCCUACAGCUUAACUGUAGAACUGCACUUGAAACUUCUAAUCUAGAGUAUGGGAGGGGGAGAUGGAAUUAGUGGUGUAGGGGUAAAAUCCGUAGAUAUCACUAGGAAUACCUAAAGCGAAGGCGAUCUCCUGGAACAUUACUGACGCUAAGGCGUGAAAGCGUGGGGAGCAGACAGGAUUAGAUACCCUCGUAGUC